GCUUCUUCAGACUCUUGUGUGCUUCCGACCUGAGGUUCUCGAGGACGUUCUCAAAGUAGUGUUCUUCGCUGAAAUUAAGCUGUGAAGAGAGUCGGCGCAAAUCAGAGAUGAGCGCUGAGUAAAUCGCUCCAGUCAGCAGUCAACAUUACAGAACAUAAACACCCGACAAUGGAGGUCACCUCCGUGGAUCACUGCUGCAGUCAGAAGGUCUGGCUCUGACCCUGACUUUCUAGGAAGUGGCACUUGGCACCUGAAGCGAACGUCUCGCGCACGUACAGAGCCCCGACCGCGUUCUCCAUGCUGCUCUGGACAUAUCGAACACAUUCUCGCCACCAUGCGUCCUCCACGAGUUUUCAUCUGACCUUCCUGUAACGAGCUCUGGCAUCUUUGAAUCGGCGGCUCAAGCUGUUAACUCUGUCAAUGAUGAGCUGCCAGGUGAGGUAGUUCUGCAUAGUUCUGCAGACAUACGUUUGAAUAUUUGUUAGAUUGUGGCCCUGAAUUGUAGA